CGUGCGUCUCUCUCUGCUUGUCGUGCAGAGACUUGUUACGGUCUGUUGGACCGCUGAAUAUUAUUUUCUCCCAACAGUAACGUUUUUCAGCAUGCUGAGGUGUAAUGAAUGCGACGACUGCAAGUCAUAUAGCUGCGUGUCCUACCACUAUGUACUCAAGAAUAGUCUGGCUUUAAUCGCACGCACUGCAGAUGACGAAGGUGAUAAUUUCCCCUGAAAGGCCAGCAUAGCUUGGCAUGACAUUUAAGUGACAAACUGUGAAGAUGGUGUGAAGGAGGUCCCCUGCCCUGGUAAGUUUCAGUGGGGUAGGUACUACUGCUGUUCUGUAUUAAUAUUUCAUUCAUAUGUAUCCCGUUGAUCAUAUGUGGUGUCAGUGUUGAGUUAUAAUGCUGUUGUUAGUAAGUUUCAGAUUGACCAGUGGUGUGCACAGCACAGUGGAAAAGACGAUGAAAUAGCGCUGCUCCACCUCCACAAAGGAAGAAAGUACUAUGCAAAUUGCAAGGAAGAGAAGGGCAACAGUUGAACAAAAUGAUUAUUUCACAGCAGAAGUAAUUUAUGUCUUUGCUCAUCUGGUGAGGGAGAUCAAUCUGACCUGUUCACUUGUGUAAGUCCUUACUUUAUUUCAUGUGCUUUAUAAUAGAUAUACAGCAAAGUGCGCACACAUACCUAUUUUAGGAAAGCUGCAACAGAUGAACAAGCUGGAGAUUUACUCGCACACCAAUAUGCUCUUCCCAAACACUGAUUUCUACAGGUCUG